CCCGCUGAACUUAAGCAUAUCAAUAAGCGGAGGAAAAGAAACCAACAGGGAUUGCCUUAGUAACUGCGAGUGAAGCGGCAAGAGCUCAAAUUUGAAAUCUGGCACCUUCGGUGUCCGAGUUGUAAUUUGUAGAAGCAUCUUUUGGAUUGGUCCUUGCAUAUGUUCCUUGGAACAGGACAUCAUAGAGGGUGAGAAUCCCGUUCAUGGUGGGGAAUCCAAUUCUUUGUAAAGUGCUUUCGAAGAGUCGAGUUGUUUGGGAAUGCAGCUCUAAGUGGGUGGUAAAUUCCAUCUAAAGCUAAAUAUUGGCGAGAGACCGAUAGCGAACAAGUACAGUGAUGGAAAGAUGAAAAGAACUCCGAAAGGAGAGUGAAAAAGGACGUGAAAUUGUUGAAAGGGAAGUGCUUGAGAUCAGUCUUAAGGUUUAGUGAUCAGUCUUCCUUUUGGUUGGUGCACUCACUAUUUCUUAGGCCAACAUCAGUUUUGGCGGCAGGAUAAUGACAUUGGAAUGUGGCUCUUUCGGGAGUGUUAUAGCCUUUGUUGAUACUGCCUGCUUAGACUGAGGACUGCGCUUUUGCUAGGAUGUUGGCAUAAUGAUCUUAAGCAGCCCGUCUUGAAACACGG
rnacentral:ncRNA from 1 species